AUUAAGACGAAUGCAUUAGUAAUACUGAAUUCAUACACGACGGAGAACCAGAGUUUUCAGUAGUUUUCGGUAGUUUUCGUAAAAGGUUAAUAUUUAUAACGGUGUUGUAUUAUAUAUCUACCAGAUGAAUUACUCUACCGCGUCGUUUCGAACGUAUUUUCCACUGUUCUUAUUCAGGAGUUUCCUCUGGCGAGACUGCAGAGCCCUAGCCUAGUACUGGUGAAACCCAGGAAGCAUAAUUAAGUGAAUCUUUGCCUUAAUAUAUGAGCUAACAGCAAAGAGCAGCUGCUCUUUUAAGGCAGGCAGCAGAAUUAUUAAAUGUCAACACAAGUGACAGGAGUACACAAUACCAGCACCUGCAUCAGUAACCUCUGUCAGAAGCACUAGUGCUGCAAAGGCAAUUUUUGCUCCCGACAGUAAAAGAAGAAGGCAUGGACAUGCAAAUACAGGAACUGUGGCAGUGCCAGCACUAGACUAUUAUA